GCAAAUCAAAUAAAAACUUUCUAAUGGCAAAGUAGAUGACAUUUUGAUAGAUUAGGGGUGAAAGAUUGGAAUUGGAAAAGAAAAAGAAAAAUACUAACAAGUGUUCCAGUAUAUUGGUCGAAAAAGUUAAAAAAAGUUGUACAAUGAUACAUGAAGUGGAAUAGAUAAUGAAUGUACAUUCAUUUUGUGUGUUCUUGUUCAAUGCCUCAGAGCACUCGAAACCCCACAAAAAAUAUUGUAAUAGUCUUGGACAACUUUUCACUGAUUUAUUCAUAAUCCAUCAAUAUUACAACUUAUUAUGCAGGAAGCAAGGAGUUGCGACAACAAAGUCCCAAACCAAUUUGCCUAUCAUCUUGCACUCAUAUCAAUCAGUACUUUUUUUAAUUAAUUCUUCAUAUCAACCACCUAUAUAUAUAAGUUUUGGAAAUUGAUCACAGAACAUCAUGGCUUGGAAUCAUUAUUAAUAUAACCGUGUCCCCAUGGAAAAUCUUCUGUGAGCUGCCGAUUUGUCUUACCUGUUUCAACAACAAAAAUACAAUAAGAUCUGUUUGACUUUCUGAAUAUAAAAUGUGAGGCUAUAAAGAGGUAAGGAAAUGUGUAAUACCGUAAGACAUAAGAUAUGUAAAGCUUAAAGUUAUAUAUACUAUGGGCCCAUACAUAUAUUCUCCUUUUGUUUAAGGUAAGAUAUAUAUCGAACUAAGGGAAAAAAUGAAUAUUAAUUCUGUCCGUUGAAUGGAAAGAGCCAUAUUUGCUGGGCGGGAUAUAAUAUUAUAAUAUAUCAUAUGAUAUAUUAUAUUCUACACUUUUGUAGAUAUAAUAUCCCAUUAUAUAUUAAAUCCAAUUCUAAUUGACAACCAAACACAAAAAUUUGAAUAGGAUAGGAAAUUAGACAUGUUUUUUUUCCCUCAAAAGGUAUCAUAUCUGAUUAUUGUUAAAUUGUUAAAAAGGCCUUAAGGCUCACAUAAACUUAUUAAUUAUUAUUGUAUUUAAUAAUGAUAAAUUAAGAAAAACAUCCUAUUUAAAAUAGAAGUUUAUUUGUAAAAAUAUGCAACCAAAAGUAAAAUCUAAUGUGAACAGGUAUUCACGUUUACAUCACGAUAUUUUUUUUCUGCUGUGCAAUUAAGUAGGCAUAAUAUUUUUUUUCAAAAUAAACCAUAUUAUCAAGUUAAAAAUCAUCAAGGUGGCAAACUUACUUGCGACAUCCAGCAGUUCCCUUGCAGCUCCUUGAAAAGCCAAGAGAAGAACAGAGUCAACAGAAAGCUCAAACACAACACAAACUGCUCUCGAACAUUUCUCUCUUCGGACUCACAAUUGAACUUACCUAUUUAUAACCAAACUGCUAGUUGGACCAAAAGACGAAGUUGACAACUUGGUAGACAUGCACUCUGCUAGGAUGGGCCCAUUGUUUGACCCACCAAUACGGAUCCAAUAUAAUAGUUGUAUCAGAUUCAACAUAUUCGCCGAAUUUUGGACUUAUUGGGGUGGUUGUGAAUGUUUGGCUCAAAAAUCAAAUUAUCAAUUAUUGGGUAAAAUACGAUUCGAUUAAUGAUGCCUAUGUAUAUAGAAAUAAAUAAAUAAUCUAUUAAUCGAAGAGGAUUACAAAAUCUCUCAAUUCAAUCACACUCUCUCUUACAAAUCUCUUAUGUCUUUGUCUUUCACGAGCACUUUUUUCGCUAUCAGUACACACCCGACUUGGGGAUUAGUGAAGAAGAAGUUCGCGUAUGAGGAUUCCAUAAGCUAAUCCGAAGGUAUUAAGCUAACCGUUGGGGAUACUGGCCAUAUAGACUUCACUCUCUUAAAAGCGUGGGGUGGGGACCCCUGAGACACACACACAAAUAUAGUACCAUACUCUCAUUUUAUAGACUAAGGAAAGGAAGGUGAUAAACUUCCAAUAAAAUACUUAAUUAUUAUUCUAUUCUAUCUAAGAAAAUAUAUCCUAACUCAAGAGAUAAUCCUUUCAAGUGUUCUAGUUAACUCGAAAAUUUCAAUCUCACAUGGAUACUCUAUGUGAGCCAAUUGGGUUUGAAUCCAAAUAUGUACACUGGAUUCAAAAGUCAGAAAUUUAAAAAACGAGUGACAGUCAUUAAUCAUAACUUCAAAUUUUUUUUUUUCAUUUUUGGCUUAUAAUCAAUAGAUUCCACCGAGACUGAGUGGUGGUUGUUAUCGAUUCCUGUUGAGUGGUGGUGGUCCAACUUCCCUUUUGAUGGCAGAGACUAUGUUUUUUUUGUAAUAAGAUGUACAAAAGGAAGUCUACGGUUAUCCGUUUGGCUCAGCUCAGGUAAAUGGAAGGCAAGAGUUUAGAUUGCACUGUUUUGAAGGGUGUUGACAAUCCAUUUAUAAUCAUGAAGUUUUAUCUUGGAUUUUCAGAGGAUUGGGGAAGGCUAAGAAAAGUUGAAUGGUUAAUUAAAAGGAUGGUGAUUGAUAAGGUCUUGAUUUUUAUAGCUUCAAGAAUCAUAGUGCUUCCAAUCAUAGAAAUCUCACCUCAAUUUAGGAAUGAUAA
rnacentral:lncRNA from 1 species